CUGUAAAUAUGACUAUAUUCAUGUCUCCAGAAUACUCAUGUCUCCGGAUCUACAACGUUGACGACGCCGAAGUCAUUGUCAUUGAUCGGAUCUGCACUUGCUCAAAGCUAAUUUUUCAAUCUGAAUCAAAUAAACACCGCACUAAGAUGAGAAAUAAAAAACACACUGUACAAAAAUGGGAAAUAAAAACACACCGCACUAAGAGGGAAAUCACAAAAACAAACGGAAAAAAAUAGAAAAUAUGUGAAAUAACUUAUUCAAUUAGAAUAAAAGGAAAAACAAUUCGGAGUGGUGAUUUAUGAGUCAAAAUUGAUCUUAAAUCACCCGUCAAAAAAGAAGAAGAAGAAGGGGUGACGGCUAUAGAGUUUGAGAAAGAGAGAAGAGAGAGGAAGAAAGAUAAAAAAAAAAAAAAAAAAAAGAUAAAACUCAAUUGGCAAACCUCUUAUCAUUCAUCUUACUUAGAGGCCUUAUCUUCCACUUCCCUACAACAACAAUUCAGAGGAAAGUUUAGUAUGGUCUACGAGCACUUAUU
rnacentral:lncRNA from 1 species